UCACCAGCAGCGGUGGCUACUGUGCUGCGCCUUGACCAGCCCAGAAAGGAGAGGCCCCAAGAAAUGGCAGCUGCUGUCUGUGGACACCUAUGCCGUCUGUACUGUGAGGAUGUAGCUAAUAGGAUUUGCUGAGAACUGGAGUUGCGUAUGAGAGGAAGAGAGGAGUUAGGAGCAGCACCAAAGCUUUUGGCCUGAGCAACUGAAAGGAGGGAGGUGACUUUCCCCGCAAGAGGACGCCUGCACGGUGUGGAGGUGGCGGGAGGGGUCAGGAUCGGUCACGCCCAUUUUGAGAUGUCUGAGCGAAGGUGCAGGGGUAGGCAGUUGGACAUCUGCAUCUGCAGCUGGGAGGUCUGUAUCGGAGAUACAAUUUAGAAAACCCUGGGCAUGUAACAGGAGAUGACAUUUAAAGCCCCUCCUCAAGGUAGUGAACGGAGGAGAGAAGGAACCUGAGGCCUGAGCUCCGAGGUCCAGGAGAUGGGGGUUCUGGGCGAAGGCACGUCCCACGAAGUCACACGCAGAAACGACCUUCGCUGGGGAAACACUGAAGCAGAGUGUCAGAGCCAAAUGAGACACAAGUUGUCCAACCCUCCAUCAUCGCCUGGUGAGAGGCAAGUAUGAGAUAAAUUUGUUUAAGAAUAAAGAGUCAACUCAAAGGGAUAAUAUCGAGUUAAACAUCGAGGUGGUUCCUGGUGACGGCAAAAGUCGCAAAGGUGACACACAAAUGACUGAUGUUUAGGAUACUCGGGCAUAGGGUUGAAGGUGUGUGAAGGGCAGUGAUGGAGCGGGAAAGGGCUGGAAGGGAGUCAGGUCACGGAGGGCCCGAACACCACGGGAAAGAAUGGGGGCUUUACUCAGUAGACCAUUGCGGCCAGACAUUGGCUCAAAAACAGAAAAUGAACGUGGUCAGAGCCAGGCUUGGCAGGGUGAUAGGGGACCCCCAAGGUGAACAGCCUAGGGCCGGGGACCAGGGUAGAGGUGGCCCAACUAACAGAGGGCUCUCGAAAGGGGUGGGCUCUAGUGAGGCUGUCACUGUGUGCUACCUGGCUGACCCGCUG